GAAAUCAUUUAGAAAACCCCUUAAUUAAAAUUUCCAGAACUUGCAUGAUCUUCCUAUUGGCUUAGGCAAAAAGUCAUGAAGAACAUCCAAGUCUCUACCAUUUUCAUGUUAUUGCUUCUUCUUUUUGCUGCUGGAAAAGAGGUGACGGCAAUGGGCCUCCCAGGUAAAACAUGCGCUUCGACUAUAAAAUUAGCAGGUUGCAAAAAUGAUAACUGCUUGAAGUUGUGCAAGCAGACACAUGGAGAGAGCAUAUACGUAAAAGGAGCAUGUUUUGGUGAUGGCUGCCUUUGCUUGCACCUAUGUUAAAAAGUCUUGUCAUCCAAGAGAGAUUCUACUAUUCUCAUAUAUAAAAUCUAUUAUUAAAUACAUAUUGAAAAGUAAUAAAAAAAGAUAAAAUAAUGAAAGGUAACUGCAUCUCAAGGCAGAUUGAAUUUUGAUUCUCCAAUGGUAAUCCUUCAACCUCAUUUCUAUAGAACUUCAUUGUCACUGCUUCCAUCUCAGGGAAUGUUCAGUUGUCCGGAUUGUAUUAGUCGAGGAAAAUUCCAUUGAUAAUCGACAUUUACAUAUUUAUCUUUGUAAUUGUAUUUAACAAACAAGUUUUCUAUAUAUAAAAAAAAAGUAUAUAUCUUUGGCAGUUAAAUUGUACACCAAUACAUGUUAUCUCA